rnacentral:lncRNA from 1 species
UUUCCUUUCUAAUUAUUUUUGUGUGGUUUCUUUUUGGGUUUGGUUUGGGUUUUUUUCUGAAUGCUUUCCAAGCAUUUCUAAUUGUCACUCUUGCUAAUUGCAGUAAGUGUUAAACAGUAUUUCAAGACCUAAGGACAACGGCACAGCACAGAAUGCUGAUUUGCAUGCUGAUCCAUACAGACCAGUAGUUUUGUCACAAGCUCAGAGUAAAGGGCAGCCAAGUCAGCCCAGAAACGAAUUCAGCGCUCACAGGACUGUCACAGGUGCUCCAUGAUAUUCUAGUCUGCUGUGAAUUGGAUGCAAUAGCUGCAGACCCUUUCUUGUCUUUCACAAAACUACUUUUGAAGGCUUAUCAGCCUUCAUGCAGGGGCAAGAUAAAGAAGAGGGACAGAGAGUCCAGACUUGGGACAGACAGUCUCCUUCUUCAUGGCAGCAGUUUGGUAACAUCAUACAUCAUAAUGGGGAAUCCAUCAUAUAUGGUGGCUGGCACUGUUGUAACAGAGGGAUCAAUUAAACUGGCAGUGGGUGUGCUGAUAAUUGUAAAGACCCAGGUUUUGAGGAAGAUGUACAGUACAAACAAAAAGCGAAAGAGGAGAAUAACACAACUGAGAGAGCACACCUGUCAUGUGGUGAAACAGGCUUGGGUGAUUCCCUUCUAGUCCGUAGUGAAGACUUCUCUUGCCUGUUAAGGUGUGUAUUUCUUAUUCCCCAAGAAAGAAGCAAGUCCUUCCUUUUCUAAGUGUGCUGCUUGUAACAGCUUGGUGUAGACACUUCAGAUUCCUGCUGAAAUGGCCUGGCCUGAAACAUUGCUUCCAGCAAUGUAAGGCUGAGGACCAACUCCAACCCAUUGGAAGAAUAAAGUGACCUUUACCAGUGCA